rnacentral:lncRNA from 1 species
UCUUGUGUCCCUAGAGCAAUAGCAGAUUAACAGGCAAUAGGGAAAACAUCAAAGUAACCAGAAGGUGAUGAAAACAAAAUAGCAACAGCAAAUGUGCAUAAGCAAACAGAAUUUAAACAACAGCAUAUGCAGGGAGAAAGCAAAUUAAAUUAAGUACAGUUGAGGUCUCAACAAGUUCCAGCCAGCAUCACAUCACUACCAUGCCAUGGUUUCUUACAGUUCCACUAAAGUGCAUAAGACACUACACCCAAGAAGACCUCUUGUUCUGCCACAUAGCUAAAGUCCAC